AUGGUCCACAUGACACGGACGUCAAGAGCAAGUAUACAUGCACUGCAUAUACUUCGACAUUUCUCUUGUACAAGCGCGCGCCCUGAACCCGGCACCCCAUACCAAGAUGUCCGAGACACGGUCCGUCAUGGACGCGGCUCCCGGCGACACCGUGCCAACAGCCACCGGUCACGGUCUGCAUGGCAUCCCCGUGCUCAUCACGCCUUUCCACCAGCCGGGUGGCGCCGCCGCGUCGACAGAGACGAUGCGCACGGCGUUCCAGGGCUUCCUCGUCCUCCAGGGGCAGGGGGAGGCCAAGGAGGACGAGCGGAAGAAGUGGUUCAGGGAGAUGCGCGGGUGGCUGAUGGUGCUGGCGACCGUGGCGGCGUUGGUGACCUACCAGGCCGGCCUGAACCCGCCCGGCGGGUUCUGGCAGGACACCAAGGAGGGCCCCGGCGGGCACGGCAACCCGGUGCUGCGCGACGAGCACUGGGUUCGGUACGUCAUCUUCUACUACUUCAACGCGACGGCGUUCGUGACGUCGCUGGUGAUCAUGGUGCUGCUCAUGAGCGAGCGGUUCUACCACGGGGAGGCCAAGGUGGUGGUGCUCAUGCUCACCACCUUCGUCGACCUCGCCAGCCUCGUCGGCGCCUACAUCGCCGCACCACGCGCUACGCCACCUCCUGCGUCUACAUCGUCGUCAUCACCUGCGUCUCCUUCAUCUGCGUCGUCUACAUCGGAGAGGCUAUGGGGGAGAUAUGCGCCUUCGUCCUGAAGAAGAUAAAGUGCAUGCGUAAUCUGGCGAAGCGGAAGUGGUUCCCGGUGCCGGCGGGUGUGGUGACGAGAUCGCUGCCGGACGAGGAGGCGGAGGAACGCAGGAAGACAGCGGCGAGGAGCAAGCGCCCCACUUGCUGCCUGUGCUGUGGGCAGUCACCGACGACGUCUGAUAGGUGCGACGUGGAGGUGCAGUAG
rnacentral:rRNA from 1 species